rnacentral:tRNA from 1 species
CGGGAUGUAGCGCAGCCUGGUAGCGCGCUUGACUGGGGGUCAAGAGGUCGCAAGUUCAAAUCUUGUCAUCCCGA